AACGAACGCUGGCGGCAGGCUUAACACAUGCAAGUCGAGCGCCCCGCAAGGGGAGCGGCAGACGGGUGAGUAACGCGUGGGAACGUACCUUUUGGUUCGGAACAACUCCGGGAAACUGGAGCUAAUACCGGAUAAGCCCUAACGGGGAAAGAUUUAUCGCCGAAAGAUCGGCCCGCGUCUGAUUAGCUAGUUGGUGAGGUAACGGCUCACCAAGGCGUCGAUCAGUAGCUGGUCUGAGAGGAUGAUCAGCCACACUGGGACUGAGACACGGCCCAGACUCCUACGGGAGGCAGCAGUGGGGAAUAUUGGACAAUGGGCGCAAGCCUGAUCCAGCCAUGCCGCGUGAGUGAUGAAGGCCUUAGGGUUGUAAAGCUCUUUUGUCCGGGAAGAUAAUGACUGUACCGGAAGAAUAAGCCCCGGCUAACUUCGUG
rnacentral:rRNA from 1 species